UAUAAAUAACCGUACGAAUUUUCUUCUAGCUUCCAAUAAUGGCGGAUACCAGAAACCAAGUACCGGACCCGCCUUCGUUGGCCAACAAUACCCACGGCCUUACCAGAACCCGAACCUUCGCAAUGGAAAGUAAAUAAAUCAAGUUCCUGCUGUUCCUGAUUUCCCGCUGGUUUAUUGAACUUGUAUACUUACCUACUUAUAUGACAACACAUUAACAAGGAUUAUUAAAUAAAUAUCUUGAAACUUAAUCAA